rnacentral:rRNA from 1 species
UGGGGAAUCUUGCGCAAUGGAGGAAACUCUGACGCAGCGACGCCGCGUGUGCGAUGAAGGUCUUCGGAUCGUAAAGCACUGUCGCGAGGGAAAACAAACGAUGGUACCUCGAGAGGAAGCACCGGCUAACUCUGUGCCAGCAGCCGCGGUAAUACAGAGGGUGCGAGCGUUGUUCGGAAUUAUUGGGCGUAAAGCGCUGGUAGGCGGUCUGAAAAGUCGCGUGUGAAAGCUCAAGGCUCAACCUUGAAAGUGCGCGCGAAACUGGCGGACUUGAGUGUCGGAGAGGGUCGCGGAAUUCCCGGUGUAGAGGUGAAAUUCGUAGAUAUCGGGAGGAACACCAGAGGCGAAGGCGGCGACCUGGAAGAUGACUGACGCUGAGCAGCGAAAGCGUGGGGAGCAAACAG